AUAUUAUUUGAAAUUUGCUGAGCUGAAACGCAUCAUUGGCCACGAGAUAAUAGUUUCAGGAAAGAGGCUUAAGAGCGUGCAACGUACAUUGGAGUAAAUCUGUUGAAAGGCUUCGACUUAAUCUCCUCAUUCUAUUAUGCUGUGUAAUAAGUUGUAAGUAAGUUUGAUAUCACGAAUAGGUUUUUGAUUAGAUUUCCAGACUUAGGCACGAAUUUUUACGUCGAGGCACUGAGAAGCCUUAACUAUUCAAAACUUUCAAACCGCAUGUCUGCUUUAAAUUGAAGCGUCUCAUAUAGGUACGUAUUUUAAUAAAUACGUGCUACGAGUUUAUUUUUUUUUUUUUUUUUAUGCUACCACAAAUUGAAGUUAUGGUUAAAGACUGUUCAUGAAAAUGUUAUCGAAAAAACAUAUCCAUUUUAUUAUUUAAAACCAUUGAACCGAAUUAAAGAUUUAAAAAAUGUAGUUUGUUUUUGCCAGCUCGCAACAGAGGAUAGCGAAAAUAUUCAGAACCAUUGGUAUGUGAAUCAUGUUAAUUACAGAGAUAUGGCAUGAUCCGAAAUAUGUACGCUUUUGUCGAUGCCUACGUUAAUUGAUUUCACAAAAAUGCGUUGCAUUUUAAAGGACGACAUUUAAUUUUGCAACCACAUAAUAAAAUUGGCUUAUCAUAUUUCACAUUGCUUUCAUGCUUUUAAUAUCGACAUUGUUUUACGGGAAUUUUAAUUUGAUCAGUGAACUACCAAUAGAUACAUGACUCGCAUUCUCCGACAAAUAUGUCAGCCUGUAUUUAUUGUGAAAAGGCUCCGAUGCCAUUGUUCAGGUUAAAAGCACUAUUAUCUGUUAUAAUCAAGUAUGUGUGGGGAAGUAAUGAGGACAGCCAUCUCCUCGGCUUUAUAAAGCAGUUUGAUACAAGAAAGUGUUCCGAAGCGUUAGGUACGUAGCUAAUGUAUGACCUCGUUCUGACACUGUAAACAAAGGGGAAGCCUCUACCUAUACCUCUGUUACAUAAAUUACUGUCUUGAUUGAAGAUUAUUGUGCUAAAUGAACACAUAUUGAGGUUAUAUUCCUCCUAUAGAAUAACAGAAAAUCAGGUCUCUAUUCACUCAAUAAAAAUACUCGUAUGCCACGAUAAACAAGAUCCCAGCAUUUUAUUCGAAGGAUAUAUUGCCUUGAUACAUCAUAUUUGAAAUAAAUAACAAAUUGCAAGGGAAUAACUACUUAAGUGCUAGAAAAUUGCAAACAUUUCAUAAAAAUACGAAAUUCAUUUGUUGAAUCCUUUCAUAUCUCGUAUUUUUCAAAUAGAUUUCCCAUUUCAGCCAUGUAAUUCAAUAUGAACGAGUUUAUUCUAAGGCACAAGUGGAAUAAUAUUCCACUCAAAGGUGAAUAAGUAAUAACUUAUCCAGUUUGAACGUCGUGCAGGACACUGAUUGACAUUAUCUUACCUAGGUAAUAACGUUCUACGAAUAGAAAUAAAUAGAAUACGGCGAGAAUUAUAUUUUAGAUCUAAUGCGAUUCUGCAUUUAUCAUUUACUAAAAUUAUUUUAAUUUUAGCGUUACCAAAAUAUCUGACUACAGUUGAAAAUAAAGUUGAAUAUUUCACGGCAUAAUUAAGUUAGGUUAUAAUAGUGAUCAAUUUCGCUGAGCAUAUAUUUAGCGAUGAACUUUUAAACAGAUAAUGACAGUGACCGCAUGAGUGGAGGGAGCACGGAGCACGCGCCAUUGUGCACCGCCAAUUGAAUAUCACGGAUGCAUUGACUUAAAACGAUCAUCGAAUGCAGUACAACGCCUUACAAGCAUAUAACAGUGUCCACGAUUCUUGGAUCUACUAAAAAUUUACGUGGAGGCAUGUAUCGACAGUUCAGUUCUAGUCCUAACUCACGUCAGACACACAAAAAUAUCGAGUCAGUAACCAUUUAAUCCACUAUUAAAAAUCUUUGGCAAUUCGGAAGAUGAUAAGCUAUGUUUGAUACCAAUACAUGACCAAAGCGUCAACAAUAGCCAUUCAGAGGUGUUGUGUUCAAUCAACUAAUCAAUGCAUAUCUAUCGGCUCAAGUUAUGCAACAAUAUUAAUUAACUAUCAACAUACACAUUAUGGUUAGGCAAUAUCUGCAAACCACAAUCGAUGUCAAUUCAAUUCCAUGUUGAUACGUGUUAACCACAAUUGGUAGGUAUGUAAUGCUGCUAACAAAUAUAAAACUGAAAUAUCUUUAAACAAUCUGACUUAUUCCUUAAAUCAAAAAUUGUAUGAAUAACACAGAGUGAUUAAUAUAAAGGCAAAGUUACUAAUACAUAAAGUACGUCCGCGUUUGAGAUUAUACACAAGAUUGGCUUAAAUAGCAUUAGUAAAUUGCUUGCAAGUGCUGCACAAUGAAGGGGACAAAGUCCAGUGCAAUAUAAUGGGAGAUAGUAAUAAGACUUUUAUAAGUGAAUCCUUUUAGAUGAGCACAAAGAGCUGCAUGUUCCUAGCGUGCAUUGAAUGAGUAGCAAUUGAUACAAACAACGGAACGGUAUGAUUGAUACUUCCUUUUGAACGCGUCAGUAAACGACACAUAACAAGCCGACGGACCUCAUAUGUAUUAGGCUCGCUGUUUUGAAUGUUCACUUAGCAAUCAUAGAGUAGUCUAAUCGGUAUUACAUUAAAUACGUUCAAGGACAUAUUUACUAUGAAGAUUUUUCUGCAAUCAAUAUUUUGUCGUCUUACGAACAAAAAUUAAUAAGCACAACUAGUAAGUUAGAGGUAAACAAGAGAACUAGGUAAAUUUUUCAGCGCUUUUAUUCAGAAUUCAGAAGACAGUACAACAACCACUUCUCUACAAUACUAAGGACGUCCUAGUGUCGGCUACAUCGUUGGACAAUACUCAAGACGAGCCAAGAGACCCGACAGUGCCCGGACGCGGUAACAAGUAGAACAAUCAGUUGGAAGAUGUAUAUUUACUCAGUAUUAUAUUUGCAACAUUGUUUCAUUAGCAACCGGCGAAUAUGCGCGCGUGGCGGAUCACGUGCCACAGCGCUUGGGACUCGGAUGUGGCCACUUAAUGCUCACUUAGCGUCGGUACCAUAUAAAGUAUAUGAAAAUUUUACUUGUGGCUUUACUAUGACCACAUUUAUCGCUUCUGUUAAAUCAGUUUGCAUUGCCACUUCUUGCAUCGCCAUUUUGAACCAAGUAUUUACGUGCUUCUAUUUCAUAUUUUCUCAUAAUAUUUUUUUUUAAUCCAACAAACAACUCAAUUUCCCGCAAAUCGAAACACACACAAAUUAAUUGCACAAAUAUUGGAACUGCAAUAGUUGUCAAUUCAAUUUUACGCUGAUAUUUAUCAAUGGUUAAAACGAGUUGUCAAAACAGAUUAAACGAGGUGUCGAUGUCAGAUAGGCUUAAUUGAAAUGUUUUUAUUGAAUGAAUGGAGUACGUGUAAAAUGAAUUUAUUUUCCUAGUUGCUUUUAUUGGUGACCAUUGCACUACAAAAUUCAUUCGUAUUUAAUACUGACGGUAGCAAUCUCAACAGUAAACAAGUAACGACAGGUUCUUAAUUGAAAUAGACAAUUUUAGAUUUUAAAUUUACUAGAUAGAGGGUUUUAUUCAGAAAUUCGUUUAAAUUUUCCGUGUAGCACUGACCUACAUCACAAACAAACUUUUUAGAAUAUUCGUCGUUGCAGUGUUCCACUCAAACUUUUUCAAACUGCGUGGCUCUGUUAAUUAAAGCGGGCACAGUUCGAACCAUGGAGACCUUGUUUAAAAACUAGACAAGUUUAAAGUACAUUUUAAUGAAUAAGAACCUGACAAACAGAAAUUACUGACUAUAUUUACUUUUUCUGUAAAAAAUCUGCAUUUCAUUAAAAUCAUCUAUCAAAAUUCUCAGCGGUCAAAGUGCAAAGCAUUAUCUUAACACUGACAAUGUUAUGAUAGAUAUUUAUUAACUUAAACAUAUAAAUUAAAUUGAAUGUACUUCAAAUACCAAUAAAUCUUCAGUUUACUAGAAUACAAAAUGCAAGAUAAAAAUACUACACAUGAUCUAAAAUAUUUUAAAUCAAUGUUCUGCAAAGUCAAAAAUCAAACUUGAUCGACUUGACUUAUUUUCAGCUUCAACGCUGUAAUGUAUUUCUAGACUCAAGACAGAGUGACGUGAACUCGAUUCAGGAAAGGAAAACCAACCGUCAGUUGCGGUUAAAAUCUAAAUCAAGUACAGAAGCAAGGUAGGUUGAGCUAGGAUAUUUUAGUUUCGAGGGAGGCUAGGGUUGUUGCUUAGUGUUUGAUUUUCACUCCAUCAACUGACAAGGAUCGUGAGAUAUAUAAACUCCGAUAGUUUAAUGUACCUCCAACAUCAAUUACUUCCAGUUUUAAAUCAAUUACGCGGGUAUCCAUAAAGGUUUUCAAAGAAAAUCUUUCUUGUCUGCAAUUUUUCCAACCUAAUUCCAUUACAAGAUGAAUCCCUUGCCUGAGUGUAAUAUGAAUAGCUUAAAACACUUUAAAAGCUUCAGAGCCACUUACUAUUUUAAUGAAAACCUAUUUAACGAGUAAGUACUUCAUGUUAACAAGGAGAACGAAGGAAAAUCAAGAUAGGCGACUGGCAAGGAAUCUUGUUAUUACUAAGAAAGUGUUGUAGGAUCUCUCAGAUUUUAUUUCAUUCAUCCUUUUGUACGUCUAGUCUGUUUAACUUGAUAUCUGGUAAAUACGUACUUAUGAAUGGCUGAAAAUACUAACAAGAAAUCAGAGAGAAGUGCCUCACUAUGUAUACCUUCUCGAACGCGUCUAGACCAAUAACUAAUGGCAUUUCAAAAAUCCACAAGAAGCGCUCGCUACCGCAAAAAUGCAGACGGAAUUUUUACUUAAUUAAAUGAAUCUUAGCAUUCAGCGAAAUUAUAUUUUACUAUCCUUUGAAGUUUAUUACAUUUUAUUGGAUACCUGUGGACGAGGCGACAUAGACCGGAAUGAAAAGUUUAAUUAAAGAACUCGAAUAGAAAUUUCUAGUUUGUUACUAGUCUAGCUUUUUUGGUCCCUAAUUCUGUUGGUGUGAUUAAGUGGAUAUUAUUACAAAGGUUCAACAUUGUAUCUUGUUAUCAUCGUAAAUAUUGGUUGUCAGCUCAAGCAAUGGCAUAAUGUCUAUUGUAUAUCUAGAAACGCCUUUUUUACAAAUAGAACGAAAAUCUCAUAGUAUAGUAAUGACCUAUACUCGUUCACUAUUAUUUAAUACAUGGUUUAGUAAAAGUUAUUAUUAUUUUAUAUCGAGUGCUUUUUGAUAAAUAGAUUAAUCUUAGUAAGCGCUAAUCUAUCAAUCUGUAUUACCUAAAGUAUUGGUUUGAAAACGAGCUCACUAAGAAGCUUGUAUUUUAACAAAGAAUUUUAUAAAGUAUCCCGGUAAAGUAGAUUAGAAUUUUUGCAGCCAUGAUUGCAAUUUUUCUUAGAAGAGCUCCAUAAUAUCUUUACUUCACUUUAUUACUUUUUAUUAAAAUAUUCUGCACUCUUCAAGAGGCUCUAUAACAAAAGAACACGACGACAGCCAAUAGGAUGGGAUUAUAUUUUAUCGGAUCUUUGUUCGUUCAAAUAAUGGGAUUUUUCUUCAGUCCCCGUCCUAUCAGCUUUGUAGAAAAUGUGUUUUCUCUGACCCACUAGCUCGCAGAAAACGUCACAAAAGUUUACAACAGAUUAAUUGGUAUAAAGAUCUUUUUAAAUUUAAAAUUUUCCAAAACCAAAGAGGUAAUAAAGUAUAACUUUGCUUAGUCCAUUAUUUUCUGUAUAAUAUUCUACUAUAUUGAACAAAUUAUUAAAAGAAAUUACUCUUGACUAGUGUAGCCUUAUAACUUAUUCCAUAUAUGUAGUCAACCUGGAUGCAAGCUUUUAUGGUAAUGAUGUAGGGAUGCGGAAAGCGCGAGCAAGCAAAUUUGCUACGCUUUACGGCGGAUGUCGUAGAUUUUACCCUUGUUAGGCACGAUAACAUCCCUAGCGAAACAGAUUUAUGAAAUGGCUAUAAAGUGAGGUAUUGAAAAUGUGCAACAAAUAACGCUAUUAUAAUCCACUUUAACAAGUGAAAA